CUUAGCCAUUGAACCAUUUGUCUUAUUGCUUUCACCAUAUGAGGAGCUUUGGUUUCGCCUGGGACACUCAAAUUCGUUGGCAUAUGAGCCUUUUCUGAAGACCACGAGCUGAAAAAGAUUGUAUUUCGAGUUCUUAAACAUCGGUCAAGAUGGAAUUAGAGUGAAUCUAGAAAGCUGCACACAAGUCACGUUCACUUCAAUUUAUCUUGAAAGAUCAAGAAUGUUCAGAGUCAUAAAGUAUUACUGUUUCAUUGUUUUGGCAAGUUUCUGCAUGUAUGGCUUGAAUGUACAGAAGUUGGAGUGAUAAGGAGACACCACUUAUAUCUCCAAAUUAAUGCAGAAACUUGCCAGUUAUUUUGUAUCUUUUUAUAUAUGGUUUUGGCUGGGGUCUUGGUUAGUUAUUAGAACUUCAAAUUCAUCUUCUUUUUUCUUCUUUUUCUUAUUUAUUUAUUUUUAUUAAAGCAUGUAUUAAAGAAGAGAAUAGAUUUGUUUAGGCAGGAAUUCAGACUCAUUUUCUGUCGUACUUAAUUAAUGAGUUUUCUUGUCAUAU